UUUAUUUCCAAUUUCUCCUUAAUUGAGGUCAUAGGAAUUUUGGUGUUCAGAGAAUGUAUGUGUAUAUGUAAAGAUAUUCUGAAUUUGCUACCUUAGAAAAAUAAGGACUAUUAAAAUCUAACUUGAUCUGUGUUUGUUUUCAGUGGCCUUACACGAAGGACAACAACAAGACCAUCUAUGCUGCUCAUUUAACUUCGACAAGUCAGAUUCAGUGAGUCAUAGUACUUGUAUUAGCGAGAUUUUGCAUUUAGCAUUCACAUAAAAUGUCAUCUUUGUGCAUAAGAUGCUUUCUUCAGAUUCCCAGACAAGAUCUGCUGUCCCUUUGUUUACAUUACUUUCCAUACAAUUCGUCCUUUCCGUAACAGCACAUUCACACAACGCUGUAACUGUGUGCUUCCGUGGGCGUUGCUGGGCUAUUCUAGGAAAUCUGAGAGGAAAGACCAAGGUUUAAACAACCAUAGUCAUCCUAAAAUCACAAUUCUGGCAUUUAAUUGUGAACAUGUGGUUCUGUUUUGGGCUGGUGCACAGCACAGCGCUACAGCAAGAGCUGCUCAGGCCCCGUGGCCUUUGACAAACUGGUAGGCAUCGUGUCAGUGUAAAACUUUACCCUGGAGAUUCACUGAAAAGCGGAACAAUGUUUAAAGUCUACCUUGAUGUAAAACAGAAAUGAUUAAAUGUUGCAUAAAGUUUGGAGAUGACUGCCUUCGAUAUUAAGAAGGAAGCAUUUUCCUACACACCCUGAAGAAUAUUGAAUAAUUAAUUGGGCUAUUGCAUUAUCCUCUAUGUGAAAUCAUUUGGAGGGAGUAAUUACCAGAACCAGGAUGCUUCAGGCCUCUUAUUCAAUAACAACCCUUAGAAAUUAGAUGUCACCCAUCUCAUUUUUCUGUCUGCUUCUAGAAAGGAAUGAGUGGUGGGCCAUGCUACAGGAGUGACCAUGAAUGUCUCACUAACAAACAGGGGAGAUAACUCGUACAAGACAACUAUGGUCUUGAACUAUCCUGGAAGCCUACUUUUUAAGAAGGUGACUGUUGAGGCAUAAAUGAAAAUAGCACCAUUCUGGCUGAAGAACAUGUCCUUGAUGUCAGAUAUGCAUUCGCCGCAGUCCUUACCAAAUAAAUGGAGACUCGCUUUGACGCUACCAUCAAGCUACAGAUUUGGGCUCCUAUCGGUAUACAAGGUCGCAACAGAACAGUGGUCAAAAAUGCAUCAGGAACAC